GGAAUAAUGAACGUUUCUAUCUAUCUUAUACAUACUCUCUCUCUCUCUCUCUCUCUCUCUCUCUCUUAUACCACUCUUUACCUAUCUCUCUCCCUCUUUUUCCGUGUUAUCCCCUCUGUAUAUCUGCUUGUACGCUUGUCUUUCUUUCACUGUCAACAUCCUUUUUUCUCUCUUUUCUUCCUUCUUCCCUUUCUCCUUGUAUGCUGCGGCAGCUUCAUAGGCCUAUUCUUUAUCCCAAGUACAUUAUAAUUUCAUCACAAGAUAAUUAUAUUAGAAAAGAAGAAUAUAAUUAUUACUAUGUACUUACGUUUAUUUACGUUUAUUUAUUCUGGUAACUAACCGAAUUAAUCGGGUAAAAACAGAAAAAGUACCAGAAAAAUGAUCGCUUUUCGAACAUAGUCGCUUUUAGUGUUUAUACCGAACUAUAUGCAUGGUAUAAAAUAUACAUAUAUAUUUACAUAUAUAUUUAUAUAAAUAUAUACAACAGUAACGUUGAUGUAUUUUAUUUCCACAAAUCACACGCCAACUUGCCUAAUUCUAUUAUCUACUUGGAAAAAACAACUGGAUUACGACACUCUUGUCGUUGUGCUUAUUUUUUUUUAAAUCUGAUAAAUAUUUGUAUUAAAGUUCCUCCUAAACGUUACGAAAGAGGCUUCACUAAGGUAUAUUGUCUAGGAAACGUGCAUUCCUUCUAAUUUAGUCAUAAUAAUAUAUAUGUUCUUAUUUAAUAUACAAAUAUGUAUAUAGCUAGCUAUAAAUAGUAAUAAUAUAUAAGUAUGUUUGCGCAUAUUAUGCUGUAUUAUACAUGUACUUUAUGGGAAUAAUGUACGAAAUAUCAGAAAAAAGAUUGUAUUUAAGAGUAAAAAAAGGGAAAGGGAAAAAUUCUACAGUUAAUUUCUGUAUUUUAACAAUGCACACACCAACUUCGCUAAUGGCUUUUAUGGGAGAAUCAAUUCGACGAAAAAAAACACUACGUAUAAAACUACCGCUGUUCCAAAUCAAAGUCCGGAACUAUUGCAGUAUAUUGCAGAAAGGAUGAUAAUGCGUAUGCACGUAGCCGAGGCCUAUUGAUUGGCGCAUAUAUGCAGGCUCAGCAAUCGAUUGGUGUGCGCAGACCAGGCGUUACUGAUGAGACGUCACAUUGACGGCACGCACGUCAUUCGCAAAAAAUAGGCCUAUAGGCUCCAUCGCAAAUUUUCCUAAAAAAAAUAUAUACGAGUCCUGUCUUGUUUUUUUGUUUCAUCCCUCCUACUUCGUUCUUUUUCUUUCUCUUUUUUACCCACUUCCUUCUAUUUUUCUCCAUGUUUUUCUGCAAGCUUUUAUACUACGUUCCUCAAGUUUCUUCUUCUUCUCUCUCCUUUCGCAGGGGCCCAUUUGGCUGAUCAAUAAUCGAUUGCACGCGAUUCCGCGGCCGCUAGGCCUGCGUGUGUAAGAAGUUGAACGGUAUAAUGAACAGUCAGCAUGUAACAGCAUGCAUGACCUGUUACGUAUAGGCUUAUACGUUCGUCAGAUUCUGCUCAUACUGUUCAAUACAAGCCGCGUAUACAAAGGCCUCGUGCAUGUAUAAAGGUGUGCAUAUUUCUUAUCAAAUAGAAUGUAUUGAUCUCCCGGUCGGUUUUUUACGAGCUGCGUAUAUAUACGAGGCCCAUAUAAGUUUUUGAUAUCUUUUGCAUAUCUGUAUAUACAUUCUCUGAUAACGUACGUACGCGUUCGAAUAGUUUGAUUUUUUUUCCCAUCAGGUGCGAACACCGUAAGGGAAAAACUGCUGUUUUUGAACGUCUUCCGAAAAUUUUACUCAGCAUUCUCUAUGUCGUACGAAACAAGUUUAAGAACGAAGGAGGAAUUCGAUAACGAAAUUAAGAAGAAACAUGAAGAAGAGGCGGUAAAAAGCAGAGGGAGGAAAAAGGCCUGCCCUAGAAAAGUUGUACAAACAGUACCGUCUGAAGGAUAUACCUAUGACGAUUUAAGCGGUUUAACUAAGGAACAAGUCGAACUUAUCGAAUUAUCACACGACGACGAUGAAAAGGGACGAAAGGAAUGUAGCGACUGUGGCGCCAUCUUUUCUACUUCCAAGGCAUUCUUAUAUCAUUGCCACCGAGCUGCCCAUUGUGCGAAAUUACCGUUUAUAUGCAGAGAAUGCGACCUAGCAUUUGGCAAUAGGAACGUUUUAUAUGAGCACGCAAGAAUACAGCAUUCUGAAGGAGUUAAGAAAUUGCCAUGUCCAUUACCAGCUUGUGAGAUUUUUAGUGGUAGCGUGGAACAGGUUAAUAGGCAUCUAAACGAAGAUCAUCGUACUCAAAUUAUAGUAAAAGAAGAAGAUUAUAACAUCUUAGCAAAUUUACAAAGUGCCAGUUUUAAAUAUACGUGCGAAAAUUGCUCGGAAUCGUUUCGAACUCAACUGUCAUUCAACUUUCACAAGUAUAAAAACUGCAAAACAAUAGAUGAAUCGAAUCAACCUCAUAAAUCGUUCCAAUGCAAAAGAUGUGGAUCGAAAUUUAAUUAUAAAAGUCUACUAGUCCUACACCUGCGCAAUAAACACAACAUCCUAGCGACCGAAUCGACCCUGGACGCCCUAAACGUGCCAUCAAAAGCCCAACAAUGCAUCGAUCAAUUAGUCAACGUUGUACUUUCGUCGUCUAAUCAAAAAGGUCCAGAGCUGCAUAGUGCAUUCCCUAGAAAUAAUAUUACACAAAUGGAUUUUCCAGUGGCAAAAAAGUCGAAAAAGGAUGAAAAUUUUAUGAAUAGUAUAGAUAAUAAUGACGAUGCCAGAAAAUAUGUAUGCGCCAAAUGCGAUGGAAAAUUUAAUACUAUUGAAGAGUUUAAAGUUCACGCGCAAGCCCACACUCUAUCACUAAUGUACGAAUGUCCUUUAAAUAGCUGUGACAAGUAUUUAUCAAGGGUUAACAACGUGAAUAGUCACCUGGUUACGAUACACAACGAAUUUAGUUUACAAGUAACCGGAAUGGAUUAUCGAUCCGGAAAAUAUCAUAUGAUUAAUCCCUUUAAAGGAGAUUUGAUGCUUAAGAAGAAUCGAAACGAAAACAACUCAGAACCAAUUAAGCCAAAAAAGAAGCCAGAAGAUCCUCAAGAAGGGGAAAAGGUUGGCCAAUCUUACUUAAUUAAACAGUCGCGCAUGCGUAUUGGAAAGGAUCGUAUUAAUCAGAAGUACGAAUGCAAAGUUUGUACUUUCAAGUCGUCAAGUGAAAGAAUGGUCCUAUUACACUUCAGACAGCGUCACAAGAAAAAUAAAAGGGUUUUCCGUUGCAACUUUUGUUCUAGUCAAUUUAACCUCAAAUUAACUUUGGAGCGUCAUAUUGCAACUAUUCAUUACGAUGGUAGCGAUAUAAACGCAAAUAACGUUAAGGCAUCAGAAGGUAGGAGAGAUGACAAUUUAGCUUAUAAGGAAGCCCUUAAGAAUAACACAGCACUAUGGAGUCUUUUAUUCCAAAAUCCGGUACUCACUUUGUCUCAACCAACUUUAGAUCCUCUUGUCUUCCAGGAUCUCGUAUCACAGCAGCUAAUGUCUAUGUCGUUAUUGAAUGUACCGGGAACCCCACCAAUUAAAACGAAUGAAAUCUCUGAAAAGAAUCAUUCAUCGUCUUCCUCAAGCUGCUCUUCCGACUGUGCCGAAUUUAAAUGUGAAGAUUGUGGAGCAAACUUUAAACACAAGCCUCAUUUACAAUACCAUCAACGAAAACAAGGACACGGUGGCUUAGAAGGCUUCAAAUGCGAGGACUGUGGUAUGAUAUUUGGGGUCAAGGCUCAUCUAAUAAAUCAUAGAAGGAAGCAUACUGGCGAAAAGCCGUACAGUUGCCCCAUUUGUCAGGUGACUUUUAGCAGGGUUGAUAUAGUUAACAUUCAUCUAAGGAAUGUUCAUAACUCGGACAUUAAGCUAUCUACAAAAGAUACGUCGCCUCCUAGUGGAACUGUAGCUCCCAUUUCGAAAAAUAUUACACCGGACAGCGCUGUUCAACCGGAAACUCCCAAAAAGAAUCCAAUAACACUCACGCAAACUAAUGGUCACCCUAUCGAAAAUCGCUAUAAAUGCUUUGAAUGCGGUAAAGUCUUUGAGAGAAGUUAUCAGCUCAGUCGCCAUAGAACUAAAGAAGGUCACGACGGUCGAGCUCGUCUUAGUUGUCCAAUAGAUUCGUGUGGGAAGUCAUUUGGUCUGAAAAGUGAGUUACAGCGCCAUCUCCUGGCACAUCGCAACCGUUUGCAUUUAUCUCGCCCAUGAUCUUAAAAUUGAAGAAACUAGUAAUGUAAAAAGAAAUUUUUAAUAAAAUACAAUGAAGGUCUACUACAAAAGAAGAUAAUACUAGAAGCAAGCAAAAGUAUAGAAAUCAAAUAAGAAUAUCAAGAAAAUUUUAUGAACAAGAUGCUUUUUAAUGUGUAAGUGCAAUAUAUUUAGAAACAAAAAAUGGGCUACACGCGUGAUCACUGGUUUUAUAUAUACAGUAUAUAUAUAUUAAAUAUAUAUCUAUACAUAUAUCGAUCACUUUUAGGUUUCAAUGAUAACUUGUAUAAUAGUAAAAUGAAAAGAAACGGCUUUUUUUCCUUCUGUGCAAGUAAACUUUUUAAUAGUGAAAAAGAUGCUAAAGGUUGAACAAGUGAAAAGCAUAUAUUGUAAAAAGGGAAAAGUUUAAUAAUAAUAAUAAUAAAUUAUUAAACUAGAAGAAUAAAUAAAGAAAUUAUGCUUAUAUUGAUAAAUAAGUCAUAUUUCGUAUAUAAAAAGAAACAUUAAUUCACAAACUUUUAGAGUUUAGUUUUCUAGAAAUUUUUUGACCGAAAAAAAGGAAAUUUGCUUUAAUUUAAAGAAAACUAACCUAAAACAACGAAAAGAUGAUUUUUAAGCAAAUUGUUUUUAAUAAUUUGUUAAACAAUACUUCCUUUUUAGUUGAGUCUCUGCUAAUAAAUACACAGAUUAUGUAUAUAUGUAUUAGAACUUGUUCAACUUUUGUUUGUAUUCUAUUUUUUCCUUGUUUUUUUUUUCUUUGUCUUUUUAAAGUUAAUAUUUUUCCAUAUGCUUUGUAAAAUCAACUACAACAACAACAGCAACCACAACAAAAAUCAAUUAUUACUCAGCCAUUCCUUUAUUUGACUGUGAUUUAUUUCCUUUUCUAAAAGUAUUAUUAAGAAAAAAGACGGAAAAAUUUUAAUUAAUUAUGUUAUUUUAAAGAGAAAACAUAAGAAAGGGUUUAUUAUUGAUUAUAUAUAUAUAUAUAUAUAUAUA
rnacentral:misc_RNA from 1 species